rnacentral:lncRNA from 1 species
UACCCUUUAUUGGAUAUUCUUUCUCUUCACAGGCUCUGUGAUUCGACUAUAUCAUUCUUUGAAGGAAAAGCAAUUGCUUCCUCUUGAGAACAUUCAACUUCUUCAGCAAAGGCUUCAAGUCCAUUUUUAAAUUUGGUUGAUAGAACUCUGUAUUCUUCUUUGCUUUGUCCUCUUUAUAACAGUCUUGCACUCUCCAAUGGUCUAGCAAAGUUCUUCCUCUGGAUGUGGAUAGUGCUCUUUCU